rnacentral:rRNA from 1 species
CAGUAGCCGCGGGAAUACGGAGGAUCCGAGCGUUAUCCGGAAUUAUUGGGUUUAAAGGGUGCGUAGGCGGAUAGAUAAGUCAGUGGUGAAAGACGGUGGCUCAACCAUCGCAGUGCCGUUGAUACUGUUUAUCUUGAAUAUGGAUGAGGUAGGCGGAAUGUGGCAAGUAGCGGUGAAAUGCAUAGAUAUGCCACAGAACACCGAUUGCGAAGGCAGCUUACCAAGGCAAAAUUGACGCUGAGGCACGAAAGCGUGGGGAUCGAACAGGAUUAGAUACCCCCGUAGUCCCUGUCUCUUAUAA